GGGUCAGUAGGUUGGUCGUGCCACCGGUACGUACUGGUCUCACUGAUUCCUCCUUCCUGAAGAACCGUAAUGCCAUUAAUUUGGUGUUGCGGGGAAACAGGACUGUUACUUUGAAAAAAUUAGAGUGUUUAAAGCAAGCUAACGCUUGAAUACAUUAGCAUGGGAUAAUGAAAUAGGACGAUCGAUCCUAUUUUGUUGGUUUCUAGAAUUGACGUA
rnacentral:rRNA from 1 species